AACUUUUAGCAAUGGAUCACUUGGCUCUCGCAUCGAUAAAGAACGCAGCGAAAUGCGAUAAGUAAUGUGAAUUGCAGAAUUCAGUGAAUCAUCGAAUCUUUGAACGCACCUUGCGCUCCUUGGUAUUCCGAGGAGCAUGCCUGUUUGAGUGUCAUUAAUAUAUAUAUAUAUCAACCCUCUUUUGUUGAGUGGUUUGGAUGUGAGGGUUUGCUGGAUUCUUUUCAGCUCCCUUGAAAUGCAUUAGCAGAACAACCUUGUUCAUUGGUGUGAUAACUAUCUACACUAUUGAAUGCAAUGGCCAGUUCAGCUUUCUAACCGUCCUUGGACAAUUUAUCAUUAAUGUGACCUCAAAUCAGGUAGGACUACCCGCUGAACUUAAGCAUAUCAAUAAGCGGAGGCU
rnacentral:misc_RNA from 1 species